UACGUAGGGGGCUAGCGUUGUCCGGAUUUAUUGGGCGUAAAGAGCGUGUAGGCGGCCAGGUAGGUCUGGUGUGAAAACUCGAGGCUUAACCUCGAGAUGUCAUCGGAAACCAUCUGGCUAGAGUCCGGAAGAGGAGAGUGGAAUUCCUGGUGUAGCGGUGAAAUGCGCAGAUAUCAGGAAGAACACCAAUGGCGAAGGCGGCUAUCUGGACGGUUUCUGACACUAAGACUCGAAAGCGUGGGGAGCAAACAGG
rnacentral:rRNA from 1 species